GGAGCCGUGGCGCAACGGUAGCGCGUCUGAUUCCAGAAAUUGGGAUCUCCAGAGUAAGCAUCCACUUGUCAAACUCGGUCUUUAGAUUACCAUCUAACAAUCGCUACAGAGGUUAAGUGUUCGAAUCACUUCGGCUUCA
rnacentral:tRNA from 1 species